UACAGAGGGGGCAAGCGUUGUUCGGAAUUACUGGGCGUAAAGGGCGCGUAGGCGGCCUGUUAAGUCGAACGUGAAAUCCCUGGGCUCAACCCAGGAACUGCGUCCGAUACUGGCAGGCUUGAAUUCGGGAGAGGGAUGUGGAAUUCCAGGUGUAGCGGUGAAAUGCGUAGAUAUCUGGAGGAACACCGGUGGCGAAGGCGGCAUCCUGGACCGAUAUUGACGCUGAGGCGCGAAAGCCAGGGGAGCAAACAGG
rnacentral:rRNA from 1 species